rnacentral:piRNA from 1 species
CUCAGGUGGUCAAGCUUUGUUGCAAGUG